AAAGUUCUUCCUGGUGUUUAGUCAGAAUCUCCUUUUCUUGUAAGUUGAAUCCAUUGGUUUGAGUCCCACCCUCCCAAGCAGGAAAAAACAAACUCGCUCCUUCUUCCAUGAACAGCCCUUGAGAUAUUUGAAGAUGGCUAUCCUAUCCCCUCUCAGUCUCUCCUCAGUCUCCUCUUUUCCAGGCUAAACAUACCCAGCUCCCUCAACC